rnacentral:lncRNA from 1 species
UUCACUCCAGUACUGAAUCAAACACAGUGGCACCACUCACUUCUUUCUAUUUUUGGAAACAGUCCCUAAUAUACACUUCUGUAUAUAAGAAGUGAAUAAUGUCCCCCUAGUGGCUUUCUCAGCUUCUCAGCCAUCUUCAUGUGUUAUGAUGUCAUUACACAUUUUCAAUACAAAUCUUCAUGCUGAUAAGGUUUCUCAAAACACAUGGUCAAGAAAGCCAUUAAGGUGAAUUCAUUCUAGCUGCCUUUGUUCCUUUAUUCCUGAGUGGAUAAUAACCAUUCUGCCAGAGGGAAGGGAGGUGAUAUUGCUGCAGUAUUGCAUGUUGUUCAAGGUCAUUGUCAGCAGUUUCCUUCAGUGGUCAAUGAGGUGAUAUCUAGAGGUUAUGUUGCAGUGAGAACAACUAAUCAUGUGGGUAGUACUAGUCACUCAGGGUAAAUGGAACAUUUCUUGCAAACUAAGGAAUAUUGGAUUUAAACAGUCUAGAACAGAAUCUUGAAGAAGAAGAAGAAGCAGCAGCAAGAAUCUAGUAAAAUCAACAGUCCCAUGUAAGAAAAAGCAAGUACACACAGACACUGUGUUUCUGUUUAAUGUAAUAAUAAAGAUUGCUAACUUUGCAUUUUACUUUGCAUCCAGUCCCAUUAUUCCAUUUGACAUCAUAACUCAGUUAAUAAGAGAGCUAGUAUUACUUCACAGUCAAUAUCUCGACCGAAUCUGAAGUUAUUAAGCAGAUCUAUCUAUUAGAAAGGUUUGCUCAAUUUAGCUGAAUAUGUCACAUAGUUACAAAAGUUAUGCCAUUAUUCAUUAUUUUUAAGCUACUUCUUACUUCAACUGUACACUGAGCUAGAAUCAGUCUCAUUGGUAAUGAAAUGUGUUUUCUUGCAUGAAAGAUGGUUGCCAUUUCAAUUGUGAUGUUACAAGAUAGACAGUUGUCUUUAAUUGCUCAGCAAAUUGGGUAAUAGCAUGGGGCUUCCUUGCACCUGUGUUCAAGCAGGAGUGGGCUGUGUACAGCCUGGGUUUGUUUAUGUAUAGUUUGUUUUUAUAUUUAAAAGCCAAGCUCUUCCCUACUAUUCAGUUUUGUAGGUUUUCUAGAAAAUGUGUUUGAGAACAUUAUUAUAGAAGUAGAUUAUUUGUUGAAUUUAUGCAUUUCUUGAACAAAUACUCAAAGUUUCCCUGUUAUCAUAGUUUCUUGUUUGAGGGUUUUAUCUUGAACUUUUCUUCUUAACUGGCAAGAGAGAAUUAAUAAAGUUUCUAUCACACUGUCACUCUUUCCAAUUCUACACACACUUAUCAAACAUUUGCACAUGUUUUGUAUUGUGUCUGUGUUUUAUUAAUUAUUAUUUUUUUAAUUUUGAAUUUCUGUAUCAUCUCUUUUUAAUAAGAAACUCAAUUGGAGUAAGGCUGGAACAGACACAUACUCCAUAAUAAAAUAUUAGCCGUAUCUCCAGUUUUGUGAGUCUUGCCCUUUUAUUCUAAGGGAAUUAAGUGUAACUAUGAAUAUUGUAUUCUAGGUUAAUAUUGUUGUAUUGGACACUGAUUUAUAGUAGUAUUAGGUAAGACAAUAUUAUUGUGUUUAUUACAACAUAAUAGUGAUAUAAAGUGGGUCAAUAUAAUUAUAUCUGCACUACUUUCUAGUCAAAUAGAUAAGUACUGUUCUUUCUAGCAGUACUUAAUAGUAACAUGAAAUUACAUUUUCCUUCUUUAUUAUAGUUAGAAACUUCUGUUUCUGUAUUUAUAUGAAUUGAUAUAAUGCACUACCUUACAUUGUCACUGAAAAAGUGAUAGUAAUAAUGCAAUGAGCAAUAAAACGAUUACAAGGAUAAAUGGAACUUGUAACCUUAUAGUUAUAAUAAUGUCUCUCACUACCUUGUCUCAUUUUCAAAUUCAAUGGACCAUAGAAUCAAAAAUGCUUCAGUCUCUUACCAUGGCUAGACUUCAAAGAAUACAUUUGGAUGUUUCACUCCAAUGGAAAGACAUUGGAUGAAUGGAAGCUAAUACAGUUAAAUAUGCAAUUGCAAGUUGGCUAUGAGUGACUGAAAGUGUCAUUAUUAGAAUCUGGAACUAUUUCGAAUCCAAUGAUAACAAAAAGUAGAUGACCACUAUUUAUCGGUUACAGAAUGCUGUAAUCAUACAAUAUCUGCUUUGAAAUUGAAUCACAUGUCCUCAGUGUGUGUCAAUAUACAGAUGAUUAGAAACAGGCUUCACAAGGCCAGCCUAUAUUCUAGCAACCUAAGAAAGCAUUGCACUCGCAACAAAGCACAAAAUAGCUCCCUGGAAAUGGUGCUAAGAGCAUAUCCAGUAAUGAAUAACGUAUAGCCAUAUUCUUUUUAUAUAUGAAUCUCACACUAUGCAGCCAGGUAGGAGGCAUGCACGAAGUUGGAAAUAAUCUUGUACCAGACAAAAUCCCAUUUCUUACAAUUGUUUGAUGCAUUCAUGCAUAAGGUAGUGGUAGAAGAAUAGUGUGGGUAGGAAUAAGCAUUUAUGGACACCUAACUUCUAUAUACUACAGAAUGAUACCAUUAACCGUUACAUUAAUGACUUAUUUACAUACCAUUUACUACUGGUGAAUUCCACACAUUACAAUCUGUUGAGUAAUUUUAUGUUUUUGCCUAUUGCAAUACUCGGUGUAAAAAAAUUACCAAACAAUAUUAACAGUAUUUUUUUAUUUACAUGUUUUGUCACCUGUAUGUUAUUAUAAAUCCUGUAACCAAACAAAGACAAUUAGAUGUAUAAGUAGUUUUAAAAAAUGUGUUCAAAAAAUCUAAUAGUAAUUCUAGGGUUGAUGCACAUAUUAUAGGGACUACAUCCUAUGACCCAUUGUGCUGCCAUAUGGUGAUACAAUUGGCUCUGAUUUAAGUUUCACAGGUGAUAACAACUAUUUUUACUGUGUUAAAAUAAUCAGUGUAUUUCAUGAAGAAGAGAUUAACCAAAGGAGUAACUGCACAUUCGCCAGACUUCAUUCACAUCAAACAUGUAUGGGAUACUCUGAAGAGAUGGGUUAUAUCCCAUUAAGUUGCUCCAUGCACUAAAGGUGUUUUAAAAACAGCUCUUUCAAAGGUGUGAUCAAGGACAUUUAGUAAUUUAUUAUAAACAUACUCAUUUUAAUCCAACAUCAUUGGCGCCAGACUGCCCUUGCUGGACAUGUUGACCAUAAUCCAUAUUGGAGUAAUAUGUCAUGAAUUGUAAAGAUAUAAAGCCACCUCUACAGCAUGUUCAUAAAAGAGCAUAGGUUGAUCAAUUAUACAGUUUUCACAUCACAUGCUAGAUCAUCUUAAUGAUUUAUGUUAACAAGGAUUAAGGGGAACAAUUAAAGUUAUUUUAUAAUUGUGAUUUUCUGCCUUGUCACAACUAAAGUGUUAUAAGUUCCAAAUAUUUUUGAAUUGUUUUAUGCAGUGUAAUUACACAUACACACAAGCAUUAAUAUCAUCAUAUAAAAAUAAUUUUACAUAGGUGUCAGCCAUUGAUUAAAUAUUGUUAAAUAUAUGAUAGUUGAAAACUGCCAGAUUUUUACCUUAAAAAUUAAUUAAAUAUGUAAAGGUAAAAUUUUCAAAGUUUUUGUUGCAGGUUUAUUGCAUUUUGUCUUGUUGUUGAGAAUUAUAUCUCAGUGACUAGGUGGUAUAGAGGUUUGUACAACUUGGUAUGAGCUAGGGAUUAAUCUACUCUUGAAUGCAAUAAGAAAGAUCACUAUUAUAAGUAACUUAAGAUAGUAGUAUACUGCACCAGGACCCAAUUUUUAUUCAAUGAUGAAAUAUCUUGCCAUUCCAUUCCAGCAGCCAGUGUGUUCUUAUACAAGGACAACAGAAUCUAGCCAGCUUGUGUAUUGAAUACUGUAAUACAGUCUGUGUUUAAGGAGAUAUCAACACUGUAUCUGUGUGAAUAAAUAACAUUUUUAUUUCA